rnacentral:rRNA from 1 species
UGGGGCAUAUUGCACAAUGGGCGCAAGCCUGAUGCAGCCAUGCCGCGUGUAUGAAGAAGGCCUUCGGGUUGUAAAGUACUUUCAGCGAGGAGGAAGGCGGUAAGGUUAAUAACCUUAUCGAUUGACGUUACUCGCAGAAGAAGCACCGGCUAACUCCGUGCCAGCAGCCGCGGUAAUACGGAGGGUGCAAGCGUUAAUCGGAAUUACUGGGCGUAAAGCGCACGCAGGCGGUCUGUCAAGUCGGAUGUGAAAUCCCCGGGCUCAACCUGGGAACUGCAUUCGAAACUGGCAGGCUAGAGUCUUGUAGAGGGGGGUAGAAUUCCAGGUGUAGCGGUGAAAUGCGUAGAGAUCUGGAGGAAUACCGGUGGCGAAGGCGGCCCCCUGGACAAAGACUGACGCUCAGGUGCGAAAGCGUGGGGAGCAAACA